GACGAACGCUGGCGGCGUGCUUAAAACAUGCAAGUCGAACGGACUUCUCAUGAAGCUUGCAAUUGAGAAGUUAGUGGCGGACGGGUGAGUAACGCGUGGGCAACCUGCCCCUGAGCCCGGGAUAACAGUUCGAAAGGACUGCUAAGACCGGAUAUACUUGCGGGGAAGCAUUUCUCUGUAAGGAAAGGGAACGCUCAGGGAUGGGCCCGCGUCCCAUUAGCUAGUUGGUGAGGUAACGGCCCACCAAGGCGACGAUGGGUAGCCGGCCUGAGAGGGUGAACGGCCACACUGGGACUGAGAUACGGCCCAGACUCCUACGGGAGGCAGCAGUUGGGAAUCUUAGGCAAUGGGCGAAAGCCUGACCUAGCGACGCCGCGUGAGGGAAGAAGGCCUUCGGGUCGUAAACCUCUGUCAUGGGGGACGAAGGAAGUGACGGUACCCAAGAGGAAGCCCCUGCUAACUACGUG
rnacentral:rRNA from 1 species